rnacentral:tRNA from 1 species
GGAGAGAUGUCCGAGUGGUUUAAGGAACUGGUCUUGAAAACCAGCGUGCCGGCAACGGUACCCAGGGUUCGAAUCCCUGUCUCUCCGCCA